UACGUAGGGGGCUAGCGUUGUCCGGAAUCAUUGGGCGUAAAGCGCGUGUAGGCGGCCCGGUAAGUCCGCUGUGAAAGUCGGGGGCUCAACCCUCGAAAGCCGGUGGAUACUGUGAGGCUAGAGUACGGAAGAGGCGAGUGGAAUUCCUGGUGUAGCGGUGGAAUGCGCAGAUAUCAGGAGGAACACCAAUAGCGAAGGCAGCUCGCUGGGACGUUACUGACACUGAGGCGCGAAAGCGUGGGGAGCGAACAGG
rnacentral:rRNA from 1 species